CGAAGGCGUCCGUAGUGGCGGUGAUGGGCGGAGGAGGAGGAAGAGGAGGAGGGGAAGCAUUGGCAGGAGCGGGCGGGGGGGGGGGGGGGGGACGCGAGCCCAGGCGCGGUGCGCGCCGGCAGUGGCGGGCACGAGCCCCACGCCUGGAGGAGGAGGAGCCAGGCCCGGGAGGAAGGCUAGCGAGGUUCCCGGGAACGCAGGGACCCCCCCUCCCCACUCCCGCCCCAGUCCAAGGUAACCGCCCCGUCGCCCGCCGGGCACCUGCAGCGGUACAGCCCGGGGCGGCGGCGAGCUCCCCGGUGCGCCCCGAGCGCUGCUGCCCGCGCCCACGCCGCGCCGGAGGAACGGAGCCCACGCUCCACCCGGGACUGCUCCCGGCGGCAGCCCGCUGGGGCUCCCCCCGAGGCCCAGGGGUUCCUGGGGGGGGGGGGUGGCUGCCGGUGGGUGUUGGUGCAGAGUCGGGAACGCAAUGUGUCUGCGCGGCCCUAGAUCCCCGGGGCCUCGCCCUGCCGCCCGCCCCCCAACAUCCCCUGGCUCUGGAGCGACGUGGCUGCUGAGGAGAGGCGUCCUCCCUUCGUGGUGAUCAAAUUCAAUCCACAGCUCUAAAAAAGUUUACAUUCUGCAACCCCGCACCACCACCACCCCAAGCAAAAAGGUCAAGAUGAAGAUCCUUAUCAUGGCCUUUGUCCUGGAUACCUUGACUCCUGCCUGGCCUUGAACCGUUGUUUUCUUUGCUCCAUAAACACCAGCCUUUCAGUUCCUGGAAUGUACUUGGCUUCCUACUGACAUUUCUUCUCCUGCCAUAAGGCAUUGUAGCGCAAGUUCUCUCUGCUGGAAAGCUCCUGGCCCAUCUACACACCUGUUCAUCCUUUAUAUAAAAAAUUAGGAAGCACUUACUCAAGAAGUCUCCCUGACAUAUCCUCUACCCACCAGUCUCCAUUAGAUUCUUUUAUUAUAUGUACUUUCUGUUGGGGAUUUGUCUCUGUCUUUCAUGUCUCUGUUUAUCAUUGUGUGUGAUUAUUAACAUCUGUUAACCAACUAUGCUAUAUGUUACAGGAGUUCAGAGACCAUGCUUAUUUUUACUUAACAUUGUAUCCCCUGCAAUUAGUGCACUGCCUGACUUAGAGUAAGCACUCAAUAAAUAGCUGUUGUGAAAAAAAAAUGAAGGAAUAAAUGAAUGUAUAGCACACAUAGGUUUAAAUGUGUAAUGUUACUUUUAAAACAUUUCAGGGGUGCCUGGGUGGCUCAGUCGGUUAAGCGUCCGACUUCGGCUCAGGUCAUGAUCUCACAGUUCAGUAGUUCGAGCCCUGCAUGAGGCUCUGUGCUGACAGCUCAGAACCUGGAGCCUGCUUCGAAUUCUGUGUCUCCCUCUCUCUCUGCUCCUCCCCUGCUCAUUCUCUCUCUCUCUCUCUCUCUCUCUCUCUCUCUCUCUCUCUCUCUCCUUCAAAAAUAAAUAAAAACAUUUAAAAAUUUUUCAUAUCCCUGAAAAUAAAUACUGCAAUUCAGUCACUUGGAUUGUUGCCACAUUCAUAGAGUCUAUGGAGAAUUAAUGGCUGAAGACAUGUCAUGAGAAAUGAGAAGAAAGUACAUGUUAUUGAUAGCAAGGUGCUGGAAAGUAGUUUGAUCAAGGUAGACCAGCAAAAGAAAAUGAUAAGAAAGUUAACAAUAUAUUGGUUCACAACACGGAAGGCUGUUUCUGCUUAUCCAGUGGUGUAUUUGGUAAUUAUAGAGGUCAAUGGAUUCUCGACUUCAAAGGAUAAGACCAUAUACAUGUAUUUUCCAGUGUUCAAGAAUAGAGAAUUCCAGUAAACCUUGCCUUAGUAUUCUCUGCCUAGAAUGGGAUGAUGCAUUCUUAUUUAGCUGGGAUAUAGGACUAAUUAGCUGCCCUAUAGCUGAACCAUGUGGAUGCAAAAUCAACAAUUAUUCUAUAAGAUCUUUGUCAUGAAGGAGUUGCAGUGGAUGAACUAUAAGAUGCCUUUUAUCACUUAUAUAUUCUUAUUUUAGAAAAAUUCUCCUUAUCUGCUAAGAGACUAAUUUUCUUAAGAAUUUUAUUACAAAUGAUAAUUAUCCUUUCGAAUCACUUAUUGCUAUAUCUUAAGGUCUUCAGUCAAAUGAACUGUUCAUCUGUUCUUUAUCCCUAUAAAUCCAAGUGUAUGUUCAGAGAAAUGUUUUCUACUUAAAUAUAUAACUAAAGGAAUAUUUAUAUGUCUGUAUAUGCACACAUUUAUAGCAUGAUAAGUACUAUAGUAAUUACCAUAGUACUAGUUAGUUAAGACAGGAGCCAGUAAAUAGCUGUUGCACAAAUAUGUUCUGCCACCUGCUUUUGUGUAUGAAAGCUUACUGGGUCAUAGCCAAGCGCAUUUAUUUAUGUAUUAUCUAAUAGCUCCUUUGUGCUAUAAUGGCAGAACCCAGUAGUUGCAAUAGAAUCCAUGUGCCCACAAAGCCUAAAACAUUUCUAUCUGAUCCUUUAAGACAAAAAAUUUUCCAGCCUCUGAACUAAGUGAACUAAGUGAAAGAGUUGUACGUUGAACUGCAUAACAAGAUGGUUCUUUUAUAUCUUCCUUUGACAAUUACUAUUUAAAAGGCUUCUUUCUAGCUAGCUCCUAUGGAAAUAUUGUUCAAUCAGUAUCAAAAAAAUGAUUUGGAUAAUUAAGUAAUUAUCUUUUUGUUUUUCAAAAGAAGAAUUGAAAAAUAUUUUUGUGUACAAUUUAUAAAAUGUAAAGCACUAUGGUAGGCCUUAUUUUAAAUUAAAAACAGAAAAAAAAAACAGUCACCACCUCUUCAACAAACAGUUUGAUGAAAGAAUAUGUGAUUUGUACCAAAAACUAAAAGGUCUGUAUACAUCCUCCAUAUUGGUGCAUGCCCUUCCCCUCUGUGUCCAUACCACCCUCUGCUCAAAUCAUCACACUACAUUGGCAAAAUAUGUUCACCCAUCUCCCCAAGUGGAAUGAUUUAUUUCUGUGUCCCCUUCUGUAUAGCAUAGUAAUGAGUUCUCAAUAAAAAUUUGUUGAAAAAAUGGAUAAAUGGGUAUAUGGAUGGAUGACUAGGUCAAAUGAACAUUGAUAUUCUGUAUGAUUAUGCCAGCCAUCAGUCAUAUCCUGAAACAAGUUGGCCUGAAGAGGUGGAAAAUAUGUUUUGUACAGAUAAACAUCUUCCUACCUGAUAAUUCUAUAAAUACUUGUGUUGAUGUCAGCUGUGCAUUGUUACCUGCACUCAAUGUAGGAAUUUCCUGGUGUUUUAGCACAGUUUUUCUUUUGUCACAGAAUUGUCCUAAAACAUUUCUACUAUUUAACUUACCAAAUGCAGUCAACAGAACAACAACCAUCAUUCACAUGGACUGAAGUUUUACCAAAGUACCUGAAAGCAGAGAUAAAACUAAAUUGAAUAAACAAGAGCAGAUUGAAUUCUUUAUUCAGGUAUCAUUUCCUGCCAAUUGUCAAACAAUUGAUUCUUUUCAAAAUCAAAUUCUAGUAUGCUGGUCUUUCUACAGAUGAAUAUGAACUCUCGAGCUUUGACUUUUCUACCAUUAUUUGGUGGAAGUUAUAGAUAUCUAAAUAAAACAUGGAGGCAGCAAUAGAGAGAGAGAUUUCCUUCAAAUAUACAGUAGGAACAUUGGAUGACUACAUGAAAAUAUUAGUGUAAUGACCUAACUAUUCUUAACAUAGACAAAGUUAAGAAUAGACAGAACUUUGGGGGGAAAGCAAGGAGGUGCUAUUUUGUUCCUGUAAAAUUUUUGUAGGUCAUUUAACUGCUCCCAAGGAUGGAUCCCACCCUAGGCUCAGAAAAUAACUAGAGCAAAAUAAUGUAGAAUAUCCUGGAACUAGAAUUUGAUGACCAGACCUCAAGUCAACCUACUUGGGGUUCCAUUCUGAUCUGUCCUUAUAGUUGUAGUAAGUAAUAGAGUUCUUCGGUUGAGAUUAAUUCCCAACUAAUACUUGGUUCUGGUAAGCAGGAUCCCACUUUAUUACUUCACACCUGACUCUGGCUUUGGAUCCUUCUUUAAUAUCCCCUCUCUUUAAAGAAUCAGUUACCAUUUUGUUCUUUUUUGUCCUCUGGGAGCUCAAAUCACAGUCUUGAACUGUGUGUCUCCCUAGCUCUGUUCCUAUUUUUUUUGUCGUUGUUUAUUCUGUUCCUUUGCCUUUUCUUAGGGUUUUAUGUAACAGUGAAAAAGGGUCUGGCCCAUAAAAUAGCACAAUCCUAGAAAAGGCUGACAAAGCCUAAUGGAUAAAGAAAAACACUGACUUUAGAGAAUCAUAGACUUAAGUGUUGCAAGAAACCUAUACCUAUUCUACUAACCUCUUCUACCUAGGAGUAUGUCUGAUCUAUAAAGCUGAAUAACCUCAAAUUCCAUUGACUUUAUUUAUUAAGUCAUGGAGGACAUUACUGAAGAAUCCUCUCACCAGCUAGUUUGUUCACUUUAUUUUCUGGGUGUGAUUAACUUUAAAUAUUUCAGUAUAAGUAGUAUGACAUGUGUAUGGACAAAUUAAAUUUAACUAACACUCUAGAGAGAGUUAAUUAGCCAAAGAAAUGUCUCACUAUCAAUCAACCCCUUUGGGUUAAUUAAUUUACAUGAGACCUAUAGGAAAUAACCUUUUGUUGGUGAUAGUAAUGGGAUUUGGUAUAUAUGAAAAGUAAAGAGGAGUUUAAGAUCCUUGCAUGAAUAAAGUAUGAGAAAACUGAGCUCAAUAACAAUCAACACCCAGAGUGCAACACUCCAUCUGUAGGAUGUUUUACCCAGAGACGUUUUGCCACUGGUUCCAGUUACAAAGCCUGCAUAUCCUGCCAUUAGAACCUCUUGUGCCUUACUCAGAGUGAGUGUUUUUCAUGGACGAUGCUCAUCUGUGAACCUGAGGGGGCAAAAGAACAAACCUUUCUUAAUUAAGCUUAAAAAGUUCUGUGAUUAUGUCUGCUUGUUAAUGAAUGUCUUUUAUAGGGCAGGCAGAUUUUGGCCUAAGAUUUGUUUUCACUGUGAUUAACAUCUGCCAGAGAGGUUGCAGGGUGGGGAUUGCCUCUAACCAGAGGUGGUUACUGAUGUUUACCUAGAAAACCUGACAUUCACUGAAGGACUGAAUUGGUUUUGGCACACUUGAGUAAUUUGGAACUGUUCAAAGGAACUGUAGAGUUUGAAAAUGAGAAAACAAGGAGUGAGCAGCUGGUGUUUAAGAAAAUGUUGCCAGGGCUUUAUAGUUGGCAUAGGGCUAAAGGUAGCAAUAGUGACACAAGUUGGCUGGAGUGGGUACAGAAAGGGAAGGCUUACUCACAUCUGAGCCUAGGCUCUUAAAUUUGGACAGGGCUUCCCUGGGGAAAGAAACUUACAACAUAAGUAGGAGAGUUUGGGGCAGAAAAGGUGUUUUAUUUCUAGAACACUUGCAGAUAAUAUGGAAAGCAACUCUUGAACAUGGUGGUUGGUACAUAAGUCAGAGCCAAAGAUAUUUUAAGUCUUAGUAUCUUUCCCCAAAGAAGCCUCACCAUGGCACAUGCUAGCAUGAGUAGGAUUGAAAUCAAAAGAUAACAGAUUUAUAGCCACAAAUCAGAGCUCAAGAAAACGAUGAAAAGUUAGUAAGUCUAAGCUGCUGGCCAAGAAACCAUUUGAUACUAUUAGUAUUAGAUUCUCUACUUGGGGGAGGGCAUGAUUAAUGAGUUAGUAACCAGAAUUGGGAAGGUUAGAAACAGGAACAGAAAUUGCAGGAACAGAAACUACACAGAGUCUUAAACCAUCUGACCUUGAGAAGGUCUACAUUGUCCCCAUGUGCAGAUUGACAUUUAUAUCAGAGUCUGUUUGGAGAAGAUUAAUGUUCAGGUCACUCUUUCCCUUCACUUUCCAUCAUCUUUUUAUCAAAAAAGCAGCAAAUAAAAUUAGGAAUGUUUCGGUUUUUUUCUAUUUGGCCAAAACUCUGGCUGCCAGGGAAGGAAAGAUAUACUAUGAUUUUAUUUUCUUCAAUUCCUUUUCACAAGAAUUCUAGCAUACUUCAUAUGGUAGAUGUAAGGUUUAUACACAAUCCUUUUUCAAAUUAAAAUAAAUUGUCUGUAGUCACUUUUUUUAGGAAUUUGGUCGAAAAUUUAUUUUUUCACUCAUUUAUCAAUCAUCAAAAUAAAAAAAUAAUGUAAAUUGACACACAGUUCAUAAAGUACAUGGGCUUCAUAUAAGCUAAGGAACCUGAUUGUGUAGCACAAGACAUUUCAGUUUAAUGCCAUCAGUUAUCUUUAUAAAGAACUCUUCUGAUUGAGUUUACUUACCCUCUCAAUCAGCUUCAUCCAGCAGCAAUGUAGUGUUAAAAGGAAGAAAUGGAGACAGAGAAAUGGAGCUCUUUAGCCAUUUUACUAUGGAGGCAAAUGCCCCGUUUUUACUAAAACAAUACUAUUUCACACUUACUGAGCAUCAACACUGUGCAUGACACUAUAUGAAGAACUUUAUAUAUAGCAUCUCACCAGUUUCUUGUAAUAGCCCUCUCAGAUGUUAGCUCUGCCUUAAAGAUUAGGAAAAUAAGGUUCAACCUGGUUAAGCUAUUCAUUCACGGUGAUAGAGCCACUCAGAUACAUAUUAUAACUUCAUAAGCCCCAGGCUGUUUUACCUUUGUGGACCCCUUCCUCUGUAAAUAAAUGAUAGAUAGAUAGAUAGAUAGAUAGAUAGAUAGAUAGAUAGAAAAUAAAAGCAAUAUUUUGUUAAUUGCCUAAGUAUAAAGACUUAUUAUCCAGGCUAGGUCUGAUUUUAUUUCUGUUUUUAAGAAAAACUAAAAUCGGGGUGCCUGGGUGACUCAGUCUGCUAAGCAUUCGACUUUGGCUCAGGUCAUGAUCUCACAAUUUGUGGGUUUGAGCCUUGCAUCCGGCUCUGUGCUGACAGCUCAAAGUCUGGAGCCUGCUUCGGAUUCUGUGUCUCCCUCUCUCUCUCUGCCCCUCCCCUGCUUGUGCUCUGCCUCUCUCUGUCUCUCAAAAAUAAAUAAACAUUAAAAAUAUUUUUAAGAGAAACUAAAAUCAAAAUAUUUUGUGAAUCACUAAAAAUAAAAAAAAUAAAUAAAAAAAGCAUGGGCCCAAGUACCAUGCCUACAGUGCCUCAGAGGUAUGCUGGGCAUACAGCCACAGGAUUCAAACUCAGUCCUAUGAAGUGAAUUCAGAAGCCAUGUUCUUCCACUUACUUUUCUCAGUUUGACCAUCAAAUCACCAAUCUCACAUUUUUUCCCACUUCUCCCAAAUUAAAAAAUAAUAAUAAUAUAACAAACUCAUCUGCCUGAAUUUUAUGAGAGGUAGAACUCUGGUUUCUUUGCUUCCAAAGAACAACACUCCAGAAUUAAUUCAAGAAUUUACAAAGAAAGUUGUCACAGUGUUUGCAGUGCUGCAAAGUGAAAGGAAAAUGUUUUGUUCAUAAUCGUUUGAACUCUUAAAGCCAUAAAGAACAAAGACGCCUAACCUAUCUUUAUCAUUCAUCUCUGUAUUAUUGAACUGCCUGCAGGUGCAUGUGGCUAUUUAAAGUGAAUUGUAAAUCGCUUUCAUAUCUUACCAAUGUAGUGAGGAUGUAUAAAUAGUUGCACAUGGCAGAUAAUUAGUUUAUGCCAACACAUCAUUGUGCUUACGAGCAUCUGGAUAUCAACUACUUGGCAAAGGAGCCAAAGGCAGUUAUUGCUAACAAAAUACGCUGAAGUCGUUUGCAAAGCGCUGAGUGGCGAAUAAUUAAGUGACAAAAAGAAUAUUUAAACUUGAGCUAACGUAGAAGAUAUAAGUUAACAAAAUUCAAAGAAAGUAGCCUGACAGUCAAGUAAUGGUGUGCGUAAUAGAUUAAUGUUUCUUGAAACCUGUUUUGUUUUCCUUUUAUUCUUGUAACAUAACAGAGAACAAAUGCAUAAAGAUACACAUAUAAGUUACACUUUGUCUACUUUACAUUAUUAGAAAAUAUUACAAGUCCUUAUUUCUACAGGAGAUAUACAUAUAGUAUAGCACACUUUUUAAAAAUUAGAAACUAGGAUAAAUUGGCACUCUUUUUCUUGGGAGGCAGUCUGAAAUCUGUCUAUGCACGGAGGGCUAAAUUGCCUGUAGUCCUCAGAAACUGGGGCCCUUUUUUCUGUUAUGUCCCAUGUACCACUAAGCCAUUACUUUGUCUCCUGUGCUAGAUCCUUCUCACCAUCCCUACCUCUCUCUAAACUUCAGAGUGACUAGGACUCCACCCUCAGACAGUAUAUCUUUACUCUCUAUGCUCACUCCUUAGGUGACCUCAUUCAUUCAUGGCUUUAAAUACCAUCUAUACACUGUCUCUCCAGUCUGUAUCUCUAUCUUAGAACUAUUCCCAAAUUCCAGACUCCUAUGUCUGAAGACUUACUUGACAUUUCUGCUGAGAUGUUUGGUAGGUCCAGCACGUUUCUCAUGUCCAAUGCAGAACCGCUGGUUUUAAUCCCCCAGAUAUGUUCCUCAUACAGUCUUCUCCAUAAAUGGCAAUUAAAUUAUUUAUGUUGUACAGAUCCAAACUGUAAAGUCCUUGUUGAUUCCCCUCUUUUUCUCAGAGUCAAUAUCCAGUCCAUCUGCAAGUCUGUUGUUUCUGCCUUUGAAACUAGAGUCCUUCCCAUGCUCACUGAUUCUAUUGUUUAGUCGAGGCUUAAACUCUGUUGCUUACACUAUGAAAGUCACUGCUGAAUGUUCUCUCAGCAUCUCUUCAUGCCUCCCUACAGCCUAGUCCCUAUAUGUCUGCAUUUCUGUAUAAGAAGUGCUUUCACCACUUCUAGCCCCAGCCAUGGGAUCGAAGCCAACUGUACCACCUGUCCUCCUGGGAGAAGAAGUGGAUGCCAGAUCUAUAAAUAUGUAUCAUUCUGACUAGUAUUAAGUAUUUCUCAUUUCUUAAAUCACUUAAAAUAAAUGUUAUUUCUAAUUCGAGUAAUAUAUAUGUGUGAUUAAAACUUCCAGUAUUACAGAGAUGUAUACUGAGAAUCUAAACCCUGCUUCCCACUCAUAAGUUGCACCACGUCAGAGGCAACAAGGUUUAACCCUUCCCACUGGUUUCCUCUGGCAGCUGUUUCUCUUCAUACAAGCAACAUGCCCAGACUGAUGUUUUCUGAUUGUUUGGUUUCAAGCAUUAUCCACAGAGUUCCUGCUGUGAAGAUUUAGACUUCUUACAACUCAGCCUCACCUUUCUAUCUCACAGGCCCUAUUUGGUUUUAUCACUAUAUCUAGUUGAAUGAAUAAAUAGUACAUACACGAUUAUGGCUACGUAAAUAUUUUGCUCUAGAGAGCCAAGUAGGGUAAUUCUUAUUCCAUUUUCUUUCUUUCACAGUAUUUUCUUUUUCCCUAAAGUUUUAAUUAUUUUUCACUUUGCUGGCUAUAUCCUCAAAUGUUGCCUCAAACACUCAAUGAUGUCAGGUAUUCUACUGAGACUCUCUCUUCUUCCUUUCCCUCGUAAGGACCUUCUUGCUGGAGUCGUCAUUCUCCUAAACUGAAUAAUAAAAUUUGCAACAAAAAUAUUUAGUUAAGAUUCAUUUGAUUACAUAUAACACAGAGAUAGGAAAAAUCUUCUAUAUACCGUGUAUAGUUAUUAUGAAGCUUAAAUAUAAGAAAACACCUGAUCGACUAUAAACCACUAAAAAUACAUGAUGGUAUUAUUAUUUUUUAAUGUUUAUUUACUUAUUUUUGAGAGAGAGAGAGAGAGAGAGAAAAUACUCAUGCAUGCGCGUUCAAGUGGGGGAGGGGCAGAGAGAGAGGGAGCCACAGAAUCCCAAGCAGGCUCCAGGCUCUGAGCUGUCAGCACAGAGACUGACACGGGGCUCAGACCCACAAACUGUGAGAUCAUGACCUGAGCCAAAGUCAGACACUUAACUGACUGAGCCAUCCAGGCGCCCCUUUAUUAUUAUCAUUAUUAAAAUUACCAUUCUCAUGUUGAGUUGUCAAAUCAACUUCAUGAAUGCAAGAUACUAAGUUCAAGACGUCAGAAAGAAGGGGCUCCUCUACCAGUAACCCUGCCUAGCCAACACCAGUUAGCUGUUUAGCUGGGAGGCAGCAUAGACUAUUCAAAGGAGCACAGCCUUUGUAUUGAAAAGACCUGGGUUGGAAACGGGUUUUUCAUGAAUUGACUUUAAUUAAGUCAUUUAACUUUUCCACAUUUCACCUUCUAUAACAUACUAGAGUAGAAAUAGCUGUUUUUAUUUCGUCAGGGUAACUAUUGAAAAAUAGUCCCAGCCAAAUGAGAGCGAAGGGGGUCCUGUGUAGAUAGUCACUUUUCAGCAACUACUUUAUGUUACAGAUGAAGAAAUAGAAAUUUCGUGGGCAGCUAGCCAUCUUCUCUGCAUUCUUUCACAGAUGUUUAUGGACAUAAAAGCUGAUAAUACACCUUAAACUAUUGUGUAAACUCCAACCUGUGAUUAAAAUGUGAGCUCCAUGUGUGAGUAUGCAUGUGCGUGUGCGUGAAGUGUGAAUAUUUCAUCAUUAGGACCACAUGCCUGACUAAAUAUCAAUCAAGGAAUACCCUGCCUUGUUCAAGUCAAUUCAACAGAUAUUCCUUGAGCAUCUGUUAUAUGCUAAGCACUGUACUAGGUGGUAAACAUAUAUGAGGAGAUAGAAGGCAUUCCCUGCCAUACAACACCUACAGGGAAGAAUGCAGGGAGAGAUACGAUGAAUGAGUUCCAAUGCAUGACAACCAUAUCUGUAGGUAUUCAGGAAGCUGUUAUUUAGUGUUUUAUGUAGAAAUUUUUUUUAAGUGUACUGCAGGGAAAUAAAAUAGAAAAUAGAGGUACUAACAAAGCUAGACUGAUUUCUUUACAGAACAACUUCUCAUGCACUGUGAAUCACCAAAAUAAAACAAAAAUACAAAUUCCUAAGCGUGUCUGAUCACUGACAUGUACUCCCACUAAAAUCUGACAGAACAUUGCCAUUUGAGAAUUUGACAAGUAGAGCAUUUUCUUUCACAAUCGUAUCACAGUCCUUAUGUGUCAAGCACAUAAAAAAAAGUUCACCUGUAAAUAUUGUUUCUAUUUUC